GGAUGCAUGGUUUUAGUACAAGGAAUGUGCAGCCUAUGAUACCAUGCAUGUGUAAGUAUGAACUAAUUUAGGCUAUGAAACUAUGAAUGGCUUAUUAAAUCAAUUAUAGUUUGUUUGAUGGGAUCAACUACUUGGAUAAUCGUAAUAAUUCUAGAGAUAAUACUUACAAUAGACCUCAACUUUUGGAAAGGAUGCAUUUAUUAGAUAAAAGGACAAUACGGGCUUUGUCUAUUGCUCUGAUGAUUCAUGAUAACUCGAUGGAUCGUAUGGCCUUUAUACCAGCCAUGCAUCAUUCAAAUUUCUACCCUAUCAACUUUCGAUGGUAAGAUAGUGGCUUACUAUGGUGGUAAUGGGUGAUAGAGAAUUAUGGUUCAAUUCUAAAUAAGGAGCUUGAGAAAUGGCUACCACAUCCAAGGAAGGCAGUAAGCACACAAAUUACCCAAUUCUGACAUAAAGAGGUAGUGAUAAUAAAUAACAAUACUAGGCUCUAUGAGUCUAGCAAAUGGAAUGAGUACAAUCUAAAUUCCUUAAUGAGAAUCCAUUUGAAGGUAAGUCUAGUGCUAGAAGCCUCUAUAAUUCCAACUCCAAUAGCAUAUAUUUAUGUUGUUACAGUUAAAAAGAUUGUAAUUGGAACUAGGGUUGGGUUAUCUAUCUAUCUCACGGUGAGCAUAAUUUUACACAUCCCUACUGCUAGCAAUGCAUUCCCGACUUUAAUUGGUCAAGUUGUUACUCUAGCAUUGUUACUUUGAAGAAAUUAGAGUGCUCAAAGUAGGCCAAUGCUUGUAUACAUUAGCAUGGGAUAACAUCAUAGGAUUUCAACCCUAUUAUGUUGGCCUUCGAAUAAGAAUAAUGACUAACAAGGAUAAUUGGGGCAUUUGUAUUUCAUAGUCAGAGGUGAAAUUUUUUUAUUUAUGAAAGACAAACAAUUAUGAAAGCAUUUGCCAAGGAUGUUUUCAUCAAUCAAGAAUAAAAUAUUAGGUGUGUAAAGGUGAUCAGAUACUAUCCUAGUCUCAACCAUAAAUGAUGCCAACUAGGGAUCGAUAGAUGUUAUUUUUAGGACUCCGCUAGCACCUUAUGAGAAAUCAAAGUCUUUGGGUUUUGAAGGGAGUAUGGUUGCAAGGCUAAAACUUAAAAGAAUUAAUAGAAGGGCACCACCAAGAGUGCUACUUAUGGCUUAAUUUAACUUAGCAUAGGGAAACUUACCAGGUCCAAACAUAGUAAGGAUUGAUAAUUUGAUAGCUCAUUCUUGAUUCUACUGGUAGUGGUGCAUGGCUGUCUUUAGUUGAUGAAGUGAUUUGUUUGGUUAAUUCUAUUAAUGAACAAGACCUUAGCCUACUAACUGGCUACGCAGAGGUGGUUCUUCAUGGCUAGUUUCUUAGAGGGACUAUGGCCAUUUAGGCAAAGGAAGUUUGAGGCAACAAUAGGUUUGUGAUGCCUUUAGGCCAAUGAAGUUUGAGGUAAUAAUAAGUUUGUGAUGCGCUUAGAUGUUCUAAGAUCCACAUGCGCUACACUGAUGUAUUCAAUGAGUCUAUAGACUUGGCCGACAAGCUUGAGUAAUCUUUGAAAUUUCAUCAUGAUAGGGAUAGAUCAUUUUAAUUGUUAGUCUUUAACAAGGAAUUCGUAGUAAGCAUGAGUCAUCAGCUCACGUUGACUAUGUCUCUACCAUUAGUACACAUUGCUCGUCGUUUCGACUGAUUGAAUGGUCUACUAAAAUGUUCAAAUCACAGUGAUGUGGAUGGUUCACUACUUGUGAUGUCAUGAGAAGUCCACUAAACCUUAUCAUUUAGAGGAAAGAAAAGUCAUAACAAGGCUUUUGUAGGUGAACCUAUGGAAG
rnacentral:rRNA from 1 species